rnacentral:rRNA from 1 species
UACGGAGGGUGCAAGCGUUAUCCGGAUUCACUGGGUUUAAAGGGUGCGUAGGUGGGCAGGUAAGUCAGUGGUGAAAUCUCCGGGCUUAACCCGGAAACUGCCGUUGAUACUAUCUGUCUUGAAUAUAGUGGAGGUGAGCGGAAUAUGUCAUGUAGCGAUGAAAUGCUUAGAUAUGACAUAGAACACCCAUUGCGAAGGCAGCUCGCUACACUAUCAUUGACACUGAGGCACGAAAGCGUGGGGAUCAAACAGG